AGUUUUUCAGAGUCGUGAAUUGUUAGAAAUGGUGGAACGUGAAACGCGCCCUCUUUCCUUUCUCAGUUUAUAAUCACAUUGUGAUUUUAUAUGGGUUGGUUGUGGAAUAAUGAUUGGCUUCAUGGGAACUAGAAGAGUUCAGUCUCUUUCAUUACGAGUUGAUACAUGGAAUUAAUCAUAAGAUCGUUAUACCCAAUUUACGGCCUAGAAUGCAGUUUUGCACCCUAAGUGGUUAUGCAUGCGGGCCCUUCAUUGACAUAAUGACCAUGAGCUCCACAUUCUAGUGCAGGCAUUCCCAGGGAAUCCUUAAUAAAGGCUUGAGAUGGCAUCUUGCAUAGAUUGAUGCACAUCCCCACGCAAUUGCUCUGCUCUAGAAACCUACAAAAAGGUUUUUUGCAAUAUUAGAGAAUUACCUGGAUGAUCUAAGGGUGAUGAAAUCUUUAAUGAUGAUUUUGAUAUUGACGAUGAUUAUGAUGAUGAUGACCAUCAUGAUAGCAAUGGAGAAGAAGAGUCCAACACACAAUCAUUGGAGCAGGUUAUUCACGGCAUGAAAGUGUCUUAAGUUGGUGGGGUGGGUUAAACUGUAGAGCUAAUUAGAUUCGAGGGAGAUGUUAAAGUUACCUGCAUUUCUUUACAUGGACUACGUUCUUUUCUCUUCUUCCAUUGAGCUCCGAUGCCCUGACCUUGUGGUGUUAAACAAAGAAUGUUAGAUUUUAUUCACAAAGUUGAUAAGAAAAAUCAUAUGCCUGCUUUCAUGUUUAUGCAAAUCAUGACACAAGUUGUAUGGCUUGCUGUUGCAUUCUUAAGGUUGUGCCACCCCCCAUCCUAUCAUUGGCUUUCUGUACAUUUAUUGAAGGAUUGGAAUGAAACUUCAUUGUGAGUAACCAGGAGCCGCACGUGCUUUGUGCACCUGAUGUUUACUAAA